CGCGUAGGCGGUGCGGUAAGUCACCUGUGAAACCUCUGGGCUCAACUCAGAGCCUGCAGGCGAAACUGCCGUGCUGGAGUGUGGGAGAGGUGCGUGGAAUUCCCGGUGUAGCGGUGAAAUGCGUAGAUAUCGGGAGGGACACCUGUGGCGUAGACAGCUUACUGGACCAUCACUGACGCUGAGACACGAAAGCGUGGGUAGCAAACA
rnacentral:rRNA from 1 species